ACCUGGUGGCGAGUGGCGAACGGGUGAGUAAUACAUCGGAACAUGUCCUGUAGUGGGGGAUAGCCCGGCGAAAGCCGGAUUAAUACCGCAUACGAUCUACGGAUGAAAGCGGGGGACCUUCGGGCCUCGCGCUAUAGGGUUGGCCGAUGGCUGAUUAGCUAGUUGGUGGGGUAAAGGCCUACCAAGGCGACGAUCAGUAGCUGGUCUGAGAGGACGACCAGCCACACUGGGACUGAGACACGGCCCAGACUCCUACGGGAGGCAGCAGUGGGGAAUUUUGGACAAUGGGCGAAAGCCUGAUCCAGCAAUGCCGCGUGUGUGAAGAAGGCCUUCGGGUUGUAAAGCACUUUUGUCCGGAAAGAAAUCCUUGGUUCUAAUAUAGCCGGGGGAUGACGGUACCGGAAGAAUAAGCACCGGCUAACUACGUGCCAGCAGCCGCGGUAAUACGUAGGGUGCGAGCGUUAAUCGGAAUUACUGGGCGUAAAGCGUGCGCAGGCGGUUUGCUAAGACCGAUGUGAAAUCCCCGGGCUCAACCUGGGAACUGCAUUGGUGACUGGCAGGCUAGAGUAUGGCAGAGGGGGGUAGAAUUCCACGUGUAGCAGUGAAAUGCGUAGAGAUGUGGAGGAAUACCGAUGGCGAAGGCAG
rnacentral:rRNA from 1 species